UACGUAGGCAGCGAGCGUUGUUCGGAAUUACUGGGCGUAAAGAGUGUGUAGGCGGCGCUCUAAGUUCGGUGUGAAAUCUCUCGGCUUAACCUCGAGAUGUCGGCGGAAACCAUCUGGCUAGAGUCCGGAAGAGGAGAAUGGAAUUCCCGGUGUAGCGGUGAAAUGCGCAGAUAUCGGGAAGAACACCCGUGGCGAAGGCGGUUCUCUGGGACGGUACUGACGCUGAGACGCGAAAGCGUGGGGAGCGAACAGG
rnacentral:rRNA from 1 species